rnacentral:rRNA from 1 species
AACACAUGCAAGUCGAGGGGCAGCACGGGAGUAGCAAUACAAHUGGUGGCGACCGGCGCACGGGUGAGUAACGCGUAUGCAACCUACCUAUCAGAGGGGAAUAACCCGGCGAAAGUCGGACUAAUACCGCAUAAAACAGGGGCACCGCAUGGUGAUAUUUGUUAAAGAAAUUCGCUGAUAGAUGGGCAUGCGUUCCAUUAGGUAGUUGGUGAGGUAACGGCUCACCAAGCCGACGAUGGAUAGGGGAACUGAGAGGUUGGUCCCCCACACUGGUACUGAGACACGGACCAGACUCCUACGGGAGGCAGCAGUGAGGAAUAUUGGUCAAUGGGCGGGAGCCUGAACCAGCCAAGUCGCGUGAAGGAAGAAGGAUCUAUGGUUCGUAAACUUCUUUUGCAGGGGAAUAAAGUGCAGGACGUGUCCUGUUUUGUAUGUACCCUGAGAAUAAGGAUCGGCUAACUCCGUGCCAGCAGCCGCGGUAAUACGGAGGAUCCGAGCGUUAUCCGGAUUUAUUGGGUUUAAAGGGAGCGUAGGCGGAUGUUUAAGUCAGUUGUGAAAGUUUAAGGCUCAACCUUGAAAUUGCAGUUGAUACUGGAUAUCUUGAGUACAUUGAAUGUGGGCGGAAUUCGUGGUGUAGCGGUGAAAUGCUUAGAUAUCA